GUUCAUCCAGGAAUAUCUAACAAUCUCUCAAUAUAAUUCACUAUUGUAAUAGAUUAAAGAAAUAUAUUUUAUCUCAAUCAAUGCAGAAAAAGCAUUUGAUAAAUCUCAGUAUCAAUCUUCAUCUGUUUUGUGCUCUACAACAGAAUACUUGAGAUUAGGUAAUUUAUGACAAACAGAAAUGUAUUUUCUCACAGUUCUGGACGCUGGAAAGUCUAAGGUCAAGGUGCUGACAUCUGGUGAGGGCCUUCUUGCUGCAUUGUCCCAUGGCAGAAGGCAGGAGGGCAAGAAGGGGAUGAACUUGUCCUUUUAUAAAAACACGAAUCCCACUCAAGAGGGAUGAGCACUCAUUGCCUAAUCACCUCCAAAGGUCCCAGACCUUUUUUUUUUUUUUUUUUUAAAGAUGGGGUCUCUCUCUGUCACCCAGGCUGGAGUGCAGUGGCACAAUCUUAGAUCACUGCAACCUCUGCCUCCUGGGUUCAAGUGAUCCUUCCAUCUCAGCUUCUGGAGUAGCCGGGACCACAGGUGUGCUCUACCACACCCAGCUAAUUUUUUAUUGUUUUGGUGAAGAUGGGGUUUCACUGUGUUGCCCAGGCUGGUCUCAAACUCUUGAGCUCAGGUGAUCUGCCCAACUUGGUUUUCCCAAAGUGCUAAGAUUACAGGUGUGAGCCACAAUGCCUAACCUGGUCCUACGUCUUAAUACUGUGUCCAUGACAAUUAAAUUUCUUCCUUCCUUCCCUUUUUUUUUUUCUUUUUUUGACAGAAUCUUGCUCUGUUGCCCAGGCUGGAGUGCAGUGGCAUGGUCUUGGCUCACUGCAACCUCCGCCUUCCAGGUUCAAGUGAUUUUCCUGCCUCAGCCUCCCGAGUAGCUGGGACUACAGGCAUAUGCCACCAUGCCCGGCUCAUUUUUGUAUUUUUAGUAGAGACAGGGUUUCUCCAUGUUGGCCAGGUUGGUCUCAAACUCCUGACCUCAGGUGAUCCGCCCACCUCAGCCUCCCAAAGUGCUGGGAUUACAGGUGUGAGCCACUGCGCCCAGCCUGAAUUUCAAUAUGAGUUUUGAAGUGGAUAAUCAUUCAAACCAUAGCAGUACUAAUCUGUGAUAAAACAUUUUUUUUAAAAACCGUGAAUUCUACCUAACACCAUAUACACAGCUGGAUUCUAGUUAAAUUAAAGUCCUAGUAGCAAAAGAAAAAGUUAAAAGAAUAUACAGGAGAAAAAUCUUUGUUACUUAUAAGCAGGAAUGUCUUAAAUAAAAAUCUGAAAGCACAAACCAUAGGGUAACACAUUGACACAUUUCAUUAUGUCAGAGUUAGAGAUUUUUGUUAAAUGAAAGACAAGAUGGACAAAGUUAAUGCACAGCUGAACAAAUGAGAAAAGAUAUUUGCAAUGUUAAUAGUUGAUGAGGGAUUAACAAGGGACUCCAGCCAAUCAAAAAGACAAGGAGAGCAACCGCAGCAGAAGAAUGGGCAAGGGAUACGGACAGAUGACAGAAAGAAAAACCCCAAAGCUAGUAUGCAUAUAAAGAGAAGCUCAAGGUCAUUAGUAAUCACACACAUGAGAACUAGAACACAAUGCCACUUUCCAGCUGUUGGACUGGCAAACAGUCCAGCUGUUGGACUGGCAAACAGUUAAAAAGCUGGUUAAGCCAAAUGUUGGCCUGGAUGGGUUCUGCAGGCAAGUUCAUGGUGGCUGAUGGAGUGUGGAUGCUUCAGCCUUUCCAGAAGGAUCUGGGGCUCCUGAUGCUAUGAUCCAGAGGUUACGCUGCUGAGUAUACAACCCAGAGGCAUUCCAUGGGAUCUGCCGCGGUCCACGGGUUUGAGGCUGUUCCGUGUGGAGAACGUACGUGGGAGAGCAUUGGAGGCAGCCGGGUGCCGGCCAUCAGAGAAAGAAUGUGCAGGUGAAACGUGGCUGAUCAUGCUGGAGCCACGUGCAGCCAUGGGAACCUGGAUCAAAUGUGCCCCUGCCACACGGAUGUCGCAGGUCCUGAAACGCU
rnacentral:lncRNA from 1 species